rfam:Nitrospirae bacterium 13_2_20CM_62_7 13_2_20cm_scaffold_555, whole genome shotgun sequence.
CGGGGCGUAGCGCAGCCUGGUAGCGCACCUGCUUUGGGAGCAGGGAGUCGGAGGUUCGAAUCCUCUCGCCCCGA